AUACGGAGGCGGCUAGCGUUGUUCGGAAUUACUGGGCGUAAAGCGCACGUAGGCGGCUUUGUAAGUCAGAGGUGAAAGCCUGGAGCUCAACUCCAGAACUGCCUUUGAGACUGCAUCGCUUGAAUCCAGGAGAGGUCAGUGGAAUUCCGAGUGUAGAGGUGAAAUUCGUAGAUAUUCGGAAGAACACCAGUGGCGAAGGCGGCUGACUGGACUGGUAUUGACGCUGAGGUGCGAAAGCGUGGGGAGCAAACAGGAUUAGAAACCCUAGUAGUCC
rnacentral:rRNA from 1 species